GUCACAAUGUAAUUAAAACGAAACAAGAACAGAGACCAAUGUGCUUGCCUAUCUGAUAGCCUCUUCGCUUCUCCAAAAUAGGACAAGUUCUUAUGGUCUAUGAAGAUUUUUACAGGAAUGGAGGAUCCCUCUAAUUCAUGUCUCCAUUCCUUCAGGGCCAUGAUUAUAGCCAACAACUCCCUGUUCCCAAUGUCAUAUGAUUUGUCGGUGUCAGUUAAUUUCUUC